GGCUCCAUAGUGUAGUGGUUAGCACAUCUGCUUUUCAUGCAGAAGAAGGUCCUGGGUUCGUGCCCCAGGUGGAGCCA
rnacentral:tRNA from 1 species